rnacentral:rRNA from 1 species
CCCUUAGAUGUUCUGGGCCGCACGCGUGCUACACUGAAGGGAUCAGCGUGUUUUCCCUUUCCGAGAGGAACGGGUAACCCGCUGAACCCCCUUCGUGGUAGGGAUCGGAGCUUGCAAUUGUUCUCCGUGAACCAGGAAUUCCCAGUAAGCGCAAGUCAUAAGCUUGCGUUGAUUACGUCCCUGCCCUUUGUACACACCGCCCGUCGCUACUACCGAUUGAACGUUUUAGUGAGGUAUUUGGACUGGGCCUUGGGAGGUUUCGGCCUCCCUUGUUGCUCGGAAAGACUCCCAAACUUGAGCGUUUAGAGGAAGUAAAAGUCGUAACA